rnacentral:rRNA from 1 species
UAGUUAUGUUCUUUAAACCUAAAGAAUUUGGCGGUGUUUUAAGUCUAUUCAGAGGAAUUUGUCCCGUAAUCGAUAAUCCCCGUUUUAUCUUACUUUACUUUGUUUAUUUUAUGUUCAGUUUGUAUACCGCCGUUAUAAGUUUAUUUUUUAAGAAUUAAAAUUUACUUUAUAUUAAUUUAAUAGUAUUUCAGGUCAAGGUGCAGCUAAUAGUUAAGUGGAGGUGAAUUACAAUAUUAUUAAUAUUACGAAUUUAUAGUUGAAAUAAUUAUAUUGAAGGUGGAUUUGAUAGUAAUUUAAUUAAUAUUAAUUUUUUGAUUAUGUAGCUCUAAAAUAAGUACACAUCGCCCGGUCGCUCUA